GAUCAUGGCUCAGAUUGAACGCUGGCGGAAUGCUUUACACAUGCAAGUCGAACGGUAACAGGUCUUCGGAUGCUGACGAGUGGCGAACGGGUGAGUAAUAUAUCGGAACGUGCCCAGUCGUGGGGGAUAACGUAGCGAAAGUUACGCUAAUACCGCAUACGAUCUAUGGAUGAAAGCGGGGGAUCGCAAGACCUCGCGCGAUUGGAGCGGCCGAUGUCAGAUUAGCUAGUUGGUGGGGUAAAGGCCCACCAAGGCGACGAUCUGUAGCUGGUCUGAGAGGACGACCAGCCACACUGGGACUGAGACACGGCCCAGACUCCUACGGGAGGCAGCAGUGGGGAAUUUUGGACAAUGGGCGCAAGCCUGAUCCAGCAAUGCCGCGUGCAGGAAGAAGGCCUUCGGGUUGUAAACUGCUUUUGUACGGAACGAAAAGGCUCUGGUUAAUACCUGGGGCUCAUGACGGUACCGUAAGAAUAAGCACCGGCUAACUACGUG
rnacentral:rRNA from 1 species